AUACGGAGGAUGCAAGCGUUAUCCGGAUUUAUUGGGUUUAAAGGGUGCGUAGGCGGUUUGCUAAGCGGGAGGUGAAAUGCCGGCGCUCAACGUCGGAAGUGCCUCCCGAACUGGUGGACUGGAAUGACUCUGCCGUGGGAGGAAUGUGUAGUGUAGCGGUGAAAUGCUUAGAGAUUACACAGAACACCGAUUGCGAAGGCAGCUCACGAAGGGUUGAUUGACGCUGAGGCACGAAAUCGUGUGGAUCAAACAGUAGUAGAUACCCUGGUAGGCCACGCAGUAAACGAUGAUGGCUAACCGCUGGUUUAUUCGGAUCAGUGGCCAAGCGAAAGCGAUAAGCCAUCCACCUGGGGAGUACGACCGCAAGGUUGAAACUCAAAUGAAUUGGCGGGG
rnacentral:rRNA from 1 species